UGGGCAGUAUCAUUAGAACUGCACCUCUUCAUAGGAAUCAUUUAAAUACUGCCUGUAUCCAUCGCGGACCGGGACAGAGGG
rfam:Desulfosporosinus lacus DSM 15449 genome assembly, contig: EJ50DRAFT_scaffold00020.20